rnacentral:rRNA from 1 species
GAUGAACGCUGGCGGCGUGCUUAACACAUGCAAGUCGAACGAAGCACUUUAUUUGAUUUCCUUCGGGACUGAUUAUUUUGUGACUGAGUGGCGGACGGGUGAGUAACGCGUGGGUAACCUGCCUUUUACAGGGGGAUAACAGUUGGAAACGGCUGCUAAUACCGCAUAAGCGCACAGCAUCACAUGCUGCAGUGUGAAAAACUCCGGUGGUAUAAGAUGGACCCGCGUUGGAUUAGCUAGUUGGUGAGGUAACGGCCCACCAAGGCGACGAUCCAUAGCCGACCUGAGAGGGAGACCGGCCACAUUGGGACGGAGACACGGCCCAAACUCCUACGGGAGGCAGGAGUGGGGAAUAUUGCACAAUGGGCGAAAGCCUGAUGCAGCGACGACGCGUGAGCGAAGAAGUAUGUCGGUAUGUAAAGCUCUAUCAGCAGGGAAGAUAAUGACGGUACCUGACUAAGAAGCACCGGCUAAAUACGUG